GCUGGCACCUUGACGGUACCUAACCAGAAAGCCACGGCUAACUACGUGCCAGCAGCCGCGGUAAUACGUAGGUGGCAAGCGUUAUCCGGAAUUAUUGGGCGUAAAGCGCGCGCAGGUGGUUUCUUAAGUCUGAUGUGAAAGCCCACGGCUCAACCGUGGAGGGUCAUUGGAAACUGGGAGACUUGAGUGCAGAAGAGGAAAGUGGAAUUCCAUGUGUAGCGGUGAAAUGCGUAGAGAUAUGGAGGAACACCAGUGGCGAAGGCGACUUUCUGGUCUGUAACUGACACUGAGGCGCGAAAGCGUGGGGAGCAAACAGGAUUAGAUACCCUGGUAGUCCACGCCGUAAACGAUGAGUGCUAAGUGUUAGAGGGUUUCCGCCCAUUAGUG
rnacentral:rRNA from 1 species